UAGUCAAAAGUAUACAAAGAAAGUACCCAGGUAUUAAACUCAUUUCCAGAACGAUUUUUUAAAUUAUUGCGAUGCAAUUGAGCUUUGCGAGCGAAGCGAGCGAAGCGAAAUUGUGGAGCACGUUUGCUACACGCGAGGUAUACCAAGAGAAUUAUUGAGAUUCUCAAAAUUUCGAUAGAAAAAAAAUCAUAUAAAAUCAGCGUAAAGAAAUAGGACUGAUAUUUUUGCACAUAAAGCUAGGGUAUUUUUUUUUCUAAUAAAACAAAUAAGUUUGGACCGAGGGGUUAAAGUAUAAGUUUAGUAAAAAAUGCAAUAAGUACGGCUCGUACCCCCCCACCCCCGGAUUUUGACCCCCCCCCCCGUCUUUUGGUCCGGAUUAUACGUCCGCCGAACUUGAACACACAAAGAGAAAUAUGCCGUGAACAAGAAACGGUAGUCGGCAUUUUAGACACGUAUAUUUUACAGACCCAAAAUAUGCCUUAUUUCUUUGUAUUAUAGCUAAUUAUUGUAUAAAUAAUUAAUUAAUUACUUUGCAAUUUUGCUUCUUAUACUAUUAUAGUUGUAUUUUAAUGAAACAUAAUAGUAUUAAAACGGUUUUCUUCUUUCGAAAAAAUUUAUUGCUAGUCCUGUUUUUAAUCGACUUUACUUGUGUAUUUUAAGCUUUUUUGUUGCUGUGCUUUUUCUGGAGAUUUUAGUUGGAUUGGAAAGCUCCUGUGUAAGGUACCCAUUCCUAAAGAAAAAUUGAAGUAAUUUGUACAAUUAAAACGCGCCGAGCUGUGUUUUAUUUUAUUGUUUCUAAGAGGAUGUAAGAAUACAAUAUUAUCAAUUUUAAUUGGUUUUAUCCAAAUCAAGAUUGUGUACAAUGGGAGUGAGUGAUGUAAUCUUCUAAUGCGUGUGGUGAAAAGAAGGCGAAUCCGUUAUUGUUUUUCUGCCCAAAUUUGAAGCUAUUUAAUAAAUCUUGAUAAAGUUAAAAAACUGUUUUGA